CCGAAUCAUGUGUUUAAUUCGUAGCAGGUAAGGGUCCAGGAUUCUGCCUGCUCCCGUAUCUACUGUGGUCCUGGACUAUUCCGUGACUUCUUCAGUUUGAUCAUGUUUUUCUUCCCCUUCCUUCAGGACUUGAGGAGAUGAACCACAGGAGAUUUCUUUGGAAGGAGGCCUCAGACGGUUUUCCUUCCAUGCAUCCCCAAGACAAGGAGGGAGCUCUUCCUCAGAAAGUCUCCUCAGGGCCCAGAGUUUGGCGAUGCUGCUCCGGAGCGGGAGCCAGAGCUCUCUUGUCAAGUAAACAGACGUCUCUGACAAGCACCCCAUGAUGACUGAAAAGUGCAAUUCCUCUUGUCUGGAAAAAUGGGAAGUCUGCAACUUUCACACCCCUGAAGACUUGGAGAAUUUGACAGAAUUGUCAGGGCUGCUUCUCCUCACUCUAGUGAGAUGAGUUUUUGCCAAGUUACCUGUCUGACUUCCUCCUUGACUCUUCACAGCCUUCUGUGAGACACUUCCCCUUCUCUGAGCUUUGAGCUUGCAGAUCCCAGCCUGUGCAGGCUCGCACGCCUUUCUCCCUGUCACUUCCAGCUCUGGUUCGCACUCGGAGAUGCAAGUGCUUCUCCUCAGAGGACCUCACGUGGGCAAGGUGCUGGGCUUGGCGGUGCUGUGGUAGCAUCUUUCCAAUGCCAGGGGAACGUGUCAAGGUGAUUCCUCACACCCUCUUAGGCAGGACUCCCCCUUCACAGCUUCUGAUUUAUCCCUCUGGCUGACUUCUCUUUCUGGAGACUCCGCCCUUCCUCGCUUCUGCAUCUGAAUUUUAUUAUCAUAGCAGCCUCAGGAUGCCAGGCUCAUCCAAACCUGACAAGUCUGCACUUACGGUGGAGAUAGGGCUUCCUCCCCCUUACAUGGAUGAGCGGGAAGCACGAACACGUGACAAUCCCAGCCUCUCUUGCCUGCCGAUCUAUGCAUCUCAGCUCUGUUUUUAUCAGCCUUGCCCAAUGGCAAAGACAGCAACACAAAUCUGCCCCCGUUCUCUGAGCC
ensembl:lncRNA